rnacentral:rRNA from 1 species
AUUGAACGCUGGCGGCAGGCUUAACACAUGCAAGUCGAGCGGAGAGAGGUAGCUUGCUACUGAUCUUAGCGGCGGACGGGUGAGUAAUGCUUAGGAAUCUGCCUAUUAGUGGGGGACAACAUUUCGAAAGGAAUGCUAAUACCGCAUACGUCCUACGGGAGAAAGCAGGGGAUCUUCGGACCUUGCGCUAAUAGAUGAGCCUAAGUCGGAUUAGCUAGUUGGUGGGGUAAAGGCCUACCAAGGCGACGAUCUGUAGCGGGUCUGAGAGGAUGAGACGCCACACUGGGACUGAGACACGGCCCAGACUCCUACGGGAGGCAGCAGUGGGGAAUAUUGGACAAUGGGCGGAAGCCUGAUCCAGCCAUGCCGCGUGUGUGAAGAAGGCCUUAUGGUUGUAAAGCACUUUAAGCGAGGAGGAGGCUACUUUAGUUAAUACCUAGAGAUAGUGGACGUUACUCGCAGAAUAAGCACCGGCUAACUCUGUGCCAGCAGCCGCCGUAA